CAAAAACAAACCACUGUAAACCCAACCCAGCAAACCCAACCCACAGCAAACUCAACCCAGCAAACUCACAGUCACCACCAUCCACCAUCACCCACCCACCUGCCACCACCAUAAACCCCAACCCAAAAUCAACCCACCACUAGCCACCACCACUAGAAAACAACCACCAAAUCACAAAACCCAGCCAUCACAAAUCACAAAUCACAAAACAACCACCAUCACAAAGACAAAAUCCAGCCAUCACAAAAUUUCACCCACCACCAAAUCCGAUCCACCACCAAACUGUGACCCACGACCCAGACCCACCAUGACCAAGUGACCCACAGUGACCGCCGAAGCACUGUGACUCGCCCCCAUGGGAAAUCGGUGAGAGGGAGAGAGAAAACGAGCAAGAGAGGGCCACAAACAACCCCACAAACGCUUCUCUCUUAGCUCCGCUAGGGUUAUAGAGAGAAAAAGUUUGUUCAGCCUCAGACCAAUUGCUUCACAAUCCUGAAAAUACCUUCUUCAGUGAAACUGGGUUCCAUUAACCAGAGACUAUAGCCAUUGAAGAUGCUGUCAGAGUUCUAUUGCAUGGUUUAGGGGAGGAUAUUAAUAGAGAGGGUCUCAAGAAGACUCCUUUUCGUGUUGCCAAGGCACUUCGUGAAGGAACCAAAGCUGCUGUGGGUGCUAGGGCUACCACUUCCAUCACAACAAAUCCAUUGUGUGCUAUUAAGACCAGA